UCUAGAUCUUUACCGACCGUGAAAAUGUAUGAGAUCUAACGCGUAUGCCGUUGCGGAAUUUCACUUUGUUGUCUGCGUAACCUCCCUAUUAGAGUUCAGUGAUCGACCAGGUAAUCGACAUUAUACGAUCAAAACAAGGGUACUGUAUUCUAUUAAGCAGACGACAAGGUUACUUUGUAAACAAUCCACCUGCCUACUCGCAGGCUGAUGCAAGAAGCCGAGGUUUGAGAGUAGGCGGGACAUUUCAUUAUCUGGGACGAGAGUGGUGAUGAGCAGACUUACGAUUCAUUCAUUUCACAUCAGCGCUGGAGGCGAGGUCGGAGUAUACCAAACAAGAGGCUUCUGAACAAAGUUUGCAACCAUUCUAACGACUGGUGCCGAGGCCGGUUUGUGGCGGUAUAAAACAAUGUGGUUCCGGUAGCAAGCAUUUUCGCCGACGAUCGGAUAAGAAGAGCUAGCUUCAAUUAUUGACGCUGCAUUCGGAUUUCUCUGAGAAAAACAAGAGCCGUGAGUAAGAGCAGACAUGGAGAGCAACUGGAGACAACUCGUCUACACUUUACUGCUUGUCAUCUUAAUGUUGUGUUAUUUUGCCAGUGAGGCAGAGGCGUAUGACGUCUGCGCGAACGAGAGGUGCCUCCGGUAUAAAGGAACAACCAGAUACUUCGACUGUAUUUUUAGCUGCAAAAUGGCAGGAUAAAAAUGUGUCUAUAUAGAGUCGUCUUUUUGGGAGCGGGUAGUCGUAGUACGGGAAAUGGACACUAGGGGCGCAAGAAGCUUAUUUUGAGUUUUCAGUAUUAAAUUGAGAAAUAAAGUUACACCAAAAGACAAACUAUAUUGGAUACAAAGUUAUAAAAUGUUAUAUGUAUUGUGUACAAAAGGUGGCAGAGAAAUGGACUUCAUUAUACCAAAGGAGUUGAAGUGUUGGAUGGAAUAAAACGAGCCAUUUCAGAAUGAAUA